CUGAGGAGAGGAGCGUGGGACAGAAAAGGGAAAGGAGGAAGUGGGUGGGGCCUGGGCCCCGCCCUGCACAGCCCACGCAUGCCCAAGCCCAGAAGCUCCAGUGGAUCCUGACAGCUGUUCUUAUUUUCUCCACUGACUCACAGACGGCAUGGACUGAGUCCAGCCCAGGUCGGGGUGCAGGUUGCUCCUCCCUCCUCCAUGAUCUCUCCUCCUUGGCUGUUUGAGGACUGCACUAAUGGCUGUGUGUGACUCCUGUAACUUCUCAUUAAAGAGGCCUCCCUUUCUCAAGUGUGCCCUUAACCAAGCUUUCCAAAGACCGCUUUCCCGCCGUCAACAGCCUGAUACAAAGGAUCAACCUUAGGAAGCGGCGCGACUCGCUCAUCCUUGGAGGCGUCAUUGGCAUCUGCACCAUCCUGUUGCUGCUGUAUGCAUUCCACUGAGAGGUCGGCCCCAGGACUCUGCCCACCGCCUCUGCGGCCUGCUUUGGAAUGGGGAACCUGCAAAGGAGAGAGACCGUCCGGCCAUGAGCCUGCCAGCAGAUGAAUUCUAAACUGCACCGUGGCUCUGACCUGGUCGGCCUGAGCUGAAGCCACAGUUUUUCUGUGCUAUCUUUUCUAAUACAUAUUACUCUGUUUUUAAUUUUAAAAACAACAAAAGGUUUCAGUUGCUGCAUCUCCCUAGGAGGUAAGCAAGCAGAAGCUGAGAACCUGGGCUUUAGUGACUGGUGAAGCCAGAUGACCAGCGGGCCUCAUAGCUGGACUCCUCACAGCACCAGGCUCUACAUCCAAAGAUGGCCUCACUUUCAGCCACGAGAUUGGAUGUGAAUAAAAAUAAUUCUUGUCCUUUUAUUUAACACUUGUGAUGAGAAGUCAGCUGUCCUUUGCUGAUACUCCGUGAUCCAUACUCUAUUCUGUGUCCCUAACUCUUGGCAGUCAAGAAAAAUUCCAUUUCCCACGGAUUCUGUAAGAUGUUGGUAGGCCAGCUUCAUGUUUGAGGCGGUCUGAAAUGGAAAGUGCUAUAGAAAGGGUGUCUCUUUUCUGUUUCAGUUGUGAGCCCUGGGUCAACUACUGCCACCAGCACAUCAGAAUGGCGGGCCUUACAGAGGAGCUGGUCAUUGCUUUAUUAUUUCUUCCCUUGGGCUGAUAUUUGCUUGUAUUGAUAAAAAUGCAUUUCCAGUGAUAGCCCGUCAGUGACUGUCAUCGGCCCUCGAAGUCCCAUAUCAUGUGAAGCUUAAUACUAGGAACUGAAGGAGGGACUUGGUUCUCUGUGAGGCCUGCUCGUGAGCCACUGUGAGAAGACAGUGAGGGGCGGCUCUCCAGGGCUUCCCAUCUGUCAGUGUUGUGCAGCCUAGAGCAAGGGUUAGCACCGCCACCUGAUGUCACAGUACUCAUGCCCUGUGCAGAUCUAUCCCCUCCUCCUCUGUUAGGCUUCUUCCUACUCCCAGGCCACAGGAUGACUACUGAAGGGGCCGGUGACUCCUACCUGUGGCUAUCUUACUUUGGACAGUGACAGAAUUGUGAAUGCUUUUCAAGGUUAGCCAUUUCUCAGCAUCUGUAAAUCGGUAACUUGUCUUACUCAACUAGCAGAUAUGUUAAAGACUCCAACAUGUGUGCUCACCAAGAGAGAAGGCUUCCGGUCCCCCUGGAAUGUCCUCUAGCACAUUGUCCACGGGCAGUGAGAGGAUAUUAGAGCGUAGCACUUCACCAUUCUGUGGUGCAGGAUGGUGCCUCUGGGCCAACUUGAUACACUUACUGCUUGCUCCUGGAUAGACUGACACCCAGUCUGAGACUGACUGACAGGUUUGAUAUUCUGCUAUUGAAGUGUUAGUACAUUCUGGGUAUGAAAGGCAUUUGAUAUAUUUUUCUUAAUUAUGGGGUUUAUUUUUCUAAAUAUGGGUUAAUCGGCUUGUUGACUGGGCAUGCCCUUUAAAGGAAAUUAAAUUUCCCUCUAUGGACCUUAAAGAAUCAGGGAAGUUCGUUUGUUAAAUUCUCUUUUAGAGAGAACAGAACUUCUCUUCCCUGACAUUUCAUUAUCUUUGAUUUUUUUCAAAGGGCCUUGAUUGGCAGUUGUGCCUCAGCAGGACUUUAUGGGACUUUGGUUGUUAUAUAGUGGGCAUAUAUAAAAUCUGAAGUAUCAUAAAUAAAGUUAUUUAUUUAAAUAUACAGCCAGUCUUUUCUCCUGGUUUGAUUAUGUGCUUCGUUCACUCUAGCUGAUGAGUGAACGGGAGCUAGGACAUGGCCCUGCCCCACUGCCACAGCACAGCUGCUGGCAGCAGACGGCCGCCCAGGAGGCUGCACUCAGAUGAACAGUAGGAUUAUGUUGCUUGUUUUCUUUUUGAGAGUAAAUCAGUUCUUUCAGGGAACGCUAGCUGUAGACGCUGGAGACAGGAGUCUGACCUCCCAUUGUGGUACCCUAGAGGGAAGACUGCUCCUCCCCCUCCCAUUCCACCCUUUCCGGUUCCGCCCUCUACAGGACCUGUGGUUGCCAAUUUGAACUUCAGUUUUAUGAUAGUCAAUAUUUUUUUUCAAGUUCAUUUCUCCCAUCUUGGGCUUACCCAGUUAUCAGGCUUGGGUGUUGGCAGUGAAGAAGUUCUUAUCAGAGCCUGAGGUAAGAGGAUUUUUUUAUUUGUGAUCCCAAGG
rnacentral:lncRNA from 1 species